AAACAACCCCCUAUGUAUUGGAUCUUUAACAGUUUUGGCCCCCAAUGCCACUUUUGACUUAGUCUUCGCUGAUGUGGCACCCACAAUGGUCGACACGUGGUACCUCACUAGGUGCCAAGUCAGCGAAGACUAAGUCAAAAAUGGUCUUGGGGGCCAAAACUGCCAAAGAUCCAAUACAUAGGGAGCUGUUU
rfam:Medicago truncatula strain A17 chromosome 8, whole genome shotgun sequence.